UCCGUUGUAGCAAUACGAUGGAAAGUCUAGUGGCGAACGGGUGCUUAACACGUGGGCAACCUGCCGAGAAGUGGGGGAUAGCUCGCCGAAAGGCGAAUUAAUACCGCAUGUGAUUAGAGUGGACAUCCAUUCGAAAUUAAAGUCGGGGCAACCUGACGCUUCUUGUGGGGCCCGCGGCCUAUCAGCUAGUUGGUGAGGUAACGGCUCACCAAGGCUUUGACGGGUAGCUGGUCUGAGAGGACGACCAGCCACACUGGGACUGAGACACGGCCCAGACACCUACGGGUGGCAGCAGUCGAGAAUUUUUGACAAUGGGGGAAACCCUGAUCGAGCGACGCCGCGUGGAGGAUGAAGGUCUUCGGAUUGUAAACUCCUGUCAUUGGGGAACAAUGCGUGACGCUUAACUGCCGUUGCGUUGGUAGUACCCGAAGAGGAAGAGACGGCUAACUCUGUGCCAGCAGCCGCGGUAAUACAGAGGUCUCAAGCGUUGUUCGGAUUCAUUGGGCGUAAAGGGUGCGUAGGCGGCGCGGUAAGUCGGGUGUGAAAUCUCGGAGCUUAACUCCGAAACUGCAUUCGAUACUGCCGUGCUUGAGGACUGGAGAGGAGACUGGAAUUCUCGGUGUAGCAAG
rnacentral:rRNA from 1 species